rnacentral:rRNA from 1 species
GGAUUGUUCGCAAUGGGCGCAAGCCUGACGACGCAACGCCGCGUGGAGGAUGAAGGUCUUCGGAUUGUAGACUCCUGUUGCUCGGGACGAAUGGCUCCGACCUAAUACGUCGGAGUGUGACGGUACCGGGUGAGGAAGCCCCGGCUAACUCUGUGCCAGCAGCCGCGGUAAUACAGAGGGGGCAAGCGUUGUUCGGAAUUACUGGGCGUAAAGGGCGCGUAGGCGGCCUGCUAAGUCGAACGUGAAAUCCCCGGGCUCAACCCGGGAACUGCGUCCGAUACUGGCAGGCUUGAAUCCGGGAGAGGGAUGUGGAAUUCCAGGUGUAGCGGUGAAAUGCGUAGAUAUCUGGAAGAACACCAGUGGCGAAGGCGGCAUCCUGGACCGGUAUUGACGCUGAGGCGCGAAAGCCAGGGUAGCAAACGGG